rnacentral:lncRNA from 1 species
AGAAAAAAAGAGAUGGUGUUUGCAAAGCACUUUGGUUCACCUGGCAUACUGCAAAAGCUUACUGAAUGGGGUGUUCUUAUUUUGUUUCUUUCAGGUGACUGUCACCAAUGUCAGUUCAGAAUUCUGACUGGUCCCUCCAACAGGACAAUCCUAUCUUCAGGGAGCCAGAUCCACCAGUCAACACAGACAGUGAUUCAGGCCACCGGCCAGUACAGGGCUAUGGGGAUAUCUCUGUUCAGGUUGUAGGAGUCCCACUCUUUCUGAGACCAUGGUGGUCUCGUCCUCUGGCCCUCAUUCCCCUCCUGCCAAGUAGGAGGUAGUUUGCAUUUCUCUAUUAAAACAAAACCUUAGUCAGUCAGGUGUGACAGUGCACACCAUUAGUUCCAGAACUCAGUGAGUACAAGGCCAGCCUGGUCUAUAUAUGGAGUAUCAAGUUCCAGGCGGGAGAGACGUGCAUGUGUGUGUGCGUGUGCACAUGCAUGUGCGUGUGUGCGUGUGUGCACGUGUGUGUGAGUGUGUGUGCACCACCAUACAUGUGGAGGUCAGAGGACAACCUGUGGGAGCCAGUCCUCCUCUUCUACCAUGUGGACCGUGGGGAUCAGACUUAGGCUUGGCGGUGUGGCUUUACCUGCUGAGCCGUCUGUCUCCUGCUUUCUCCCCCUUUGAGCCAAGCUCUAGUCAUGCAGCCCUGAAGCUUCAGUCCUACUUCCGCCUCCCAGUGGGCAGGAUUAUAGGAAUGUACAGC